rnacentral:rRNA from 1 species
GGGACGGGUGAGUAACACGUGGAUAACCUACCUAUAAGACUGGGAUAACUUCGGGAAACCGGAGCUAAUACCGGAUAACAUGUUGAACCGCAUGGUUCAACAGUGAAAGACGGUCUUGCUGUCACUUAUAGAUGGAUCCGCGCCGCAUUAGCUAGUUGGUAAGGUAACGGCUUACCAAGGCAACGAUGCGUAGCCGACCUGAGAGGGUGAUCGGCCACACUGGAACUGAGACACGGUCCAG